GAUGAACGCUGGCGGCGUGCCUAAUACAUGCAAGUCGAGCGAACGGACGAGAAGCUUGCUUUUCUGAUGUUAGCGGCGGACGGGUGAGUAACACGUGGAUAACCUACCUAUAAGACUGGGAUAACUUCGGGAAACCGGAGCUAAUACCGGAUAAUAUUUUGAACCGCAUGGUUCAAAAGUGAAAGACGGUCUUGCUGUCACUUAUAGAUGGAUCCGCGCUGCAUUAGCUAGUUGGUAAGGUAACGGCUUACCAAGGCAACGAUGCAUAGCCGACCUGAGAGGGUGAUCGGCCACACUGGAACUGAGACACGGUCCAGACUCCUACGGGAGGCAGCAGUAGGGAAUCUUCCGCAAUGGGCGAAAGCCUGACGGAGCAACGCCGCGUGAGUGAUGAAGGUCUUCGGAUCGUAAAACUCUGUUAUUAGGGAAGAACAUAUGUGUAAGUAACUGUGCACAUCUUGACGGUACCUAAUCAGAAAGCCACGGCUAACUACGUGCCAGCAGCCGCGGUAAUACGUAGGUGGCAAGCGUUAUCCGGAAUUAUUGGGCGUAAAGCGCGCGUAGGCGGUUUUUUAAGUCUGAUGUGAAAGCCCACGGCUCAACCGUGGAGGGUCAUUGGAAACUGGAAAACUUGAGUGCAGAAGAGGAAAGUGGAAUUCCAUGUGUAGCGGUGAAAUGCGCAGAGAUGUGGAGGAACACCAGUGGCGAAGGCGACUUUCUGGUCUGUAACUGACGCUGAUGUGCGAAAGCGUGGGGAUCAAACAGGAUUAGAUACCCUGGUAGUCCACGCCGUAAACGAUGAGUGCUAAGUGUUAGGGGGUUUCCGCCCCUUAGUGCUGCAGCUAACGCAUUAAGCACUCCGCCUGGGGAGUACGACCGCAAGGUUGAAACUCAAAGGAAUUGACGGGGGCCCGCACAAGCGGUGGAGCAUGUGGUUUAAUUCGAAGCAACGCGAAGAACCUUACCAAAUCUUGACAUCCUUUGACAACUCUAGAGAUAGAGCCUUCCCUUUCGGGGGACAAAGUGACAGGUGGUGCAUGGUUGUCGUCAGCUCGUGUCGUGAGAUGUUGGGUUAAGUCCCGCAACGAGCGCAACCCUUAAGCUUAGUUGCCAUCAUUAAGUUGGGCACUCUAAGUUGACUGCCGGUGACAAACCGGAGGAAGGUGGGGAUGACGUCAAAUCAUCAUGCCCCUUAUGAUUUGGGCUACACACGUGCUACAAUGGACAAUACAAAGGGCAGCGAAACCGCGAGGUCAAGCAAAUCCCAUAAAGUUGUUCUCAGUUCGGAUUGUAGUCUGCAACUCGACUACAUGAAGCUGGAAUCGCUAGUAAUCGUAGAUCAGCAUGCUACGGUGAAUACGUUCCCGGGUCU
rnacentral:rRNA from 1 species